CUCUCCUCCUUCCAAAAAUAUCACGACUUUCUCUCUCUACUCCCCUGAGAAAUCGACUGUGAUUCCUAUCUCUUCAAAUAUCUUCAAAAAUGUUGCGAUUUUUUGUGUGAUUUAUCGAAGCUGGAUUUUUUGCCAAUUUCUAGAGAUGAUUUCGAUCAGUUAUUUGAGAGUUUUCAAGUUAUUUGGUGAAUUCACUCCAAAAGUUAUCAAUCGUAGAGGUGUUUAAAUUGAAUACUGAGAAGAUCUAUUGUUCGAUAAUCUUCCCCUCUUGGUUACCGGACUUAUUGUCGUCCUCCAUCAUCAUUGAUUGAAACAACUCAGAAUUGAAGCGAGUACAACAAAAAUGAAAAAAAAUCCAAAAAAGGCAGAACAGGCAACGACGAGGACAAGGGAGGAGAAAGAGAUAGCAAAGGAGCUGCGGAAAGUGAAGGAGGCAGAAGCCAAGGCCUUAAUUUAUUUCUCUGCAGGUUGUCAUUCGUGGAAUGGUGUUUCCUUCACGAUUAAACCUGAUUGGAAUACCAAUAAAUUAACACUUCCAUGGUUGCUGCCAUCUCAGCCGGAGCCUAGGGUCUGCUAGUGUCUGGUUUGCAGACUAGUUCUCUUUUUUUUUGCUUUGAUUGCAGGUGUGAGGUGCAGUUGCUGAGUACAAGCAAGAGCAGUCAGUUAGGAAGUGUUAGAUGUUGGCUUGGAGAGUGGUUUAUGUUGUCUCUUUUGUCCUUCAUGUCCUUUUCUUCUCUUCUUGCCAUGAUUGAAAUUUUUUAUGAUUUUCUUAAACCUAUUAGCUCAAAAUGGCAGAGCACUAUGCAGAUGCAUAGGGGAUGUAGGUUCGAUUCCUACAUAGGUUGUCCAUAAAAGUAUAUGAAAAAGAAACUCAAAAGUAAAUCAUAAUAAAUAACAAAAUAAAUCAAAAUAUUUCUGGAGCACGACAAUAAGUAUACACUAAACUAUAUAUAAAAAAGAUUUAUAAAGUUGUUUUCAAGAGGAAAGCAUAAAAUAAAAAGUAAAAAAAAUAAACCUAUAAGUAAAUGGAAAUGUUCCAAAAGUAAAUCAUACCAUAGAUUCUGGUAUUUACUCAACUUUCUUAUUUAAAAACUAGUUACUCUCCC